GGAGCAGCAGGAGCAGCAGCAGCAGCAGACCUGCCUGGCCUGGGAUUUGGGUGCAGGACUUGUCCCACUGACCACUUCUGCUUGUGGAAAGGUUCUUCCUUGCUUUACAGUGCAAUUCCACAGCCUCUGCCUCCCCUUCCAUGCCUGUGCAGGCUGCAGGUCCAGCUCCUGAGUCAUGGGGUGGCCCAUGGCAGGGGUGGGAGCUGGAGGUGUGGUACCUACCAGGGACCCCGUCCAGCAGCCGCCUGCCACAGCCUUGCCCGGCAGUCCCUACCCAUCAUAUGACCUUCCUGAGCACCAGCAUGUGACCGAACCACACUGGAAAAGACACGGCAGAGCAGAGCAGAGAGGCUGCAGAGGGGGAGGGCAGCUCUGCCAGAGCGGAUUAGUAAGCUGGACAGAUAGGGAAAGCUUUGA